UAGAUUCGGCCCCUUACCACCACCCCAGUGAAGCUGUGCAGAUAAUAUCAGCCCUUCAGCUUUUCAAGAUUCUGAACAGAUUGUAUCCAGCUGUUCUCUGUAUAAGAGCGAGUCACACUAGAUCUAUCAACAUAGGCAUUUGUUCAGUGAGUGAACUGGAUGGCAAUGCGCUGUUUCCUGUUAUCUAUCAAAGUGAGGUCUUGUGAAAAUGGGAGGUACCCUGAGAGAAGACAAGUCACUUCACUGCCAAAAGAGGGGCUGGGUAGUGUACAGGAAGAGUGCGAUGAAAGAAAAGACAAAAAGAAGAUAAGAAAUAUGACGCUUUUUUCUUCUGUGUGUCGGUAAAAUGAACCCCUCAGAUAAGGAAAUGGAACUCCAAGUCUUAACAAAUAGAAAAAUGCAGGAUCAUUCGAACAGGAGUUAAACGUAACCGUCUACAAAGCCGUAGUCAGAUACCUGACUAAUCCGCACCACCCCUAAGGAAAGUUUCCUUUGUGUCGGGGCCGUACGUCAAUCUAUUAUUUUUCCCAUUCGUACCUGAUACCU